AAAGGUAAGUUCGACGGGCCCCGCACAAGCAGCGGAGCGUGUGGUUUAAUUCGAUGCUACACGAAGAACCUUACCAGGGUUUGACAUACAAGUAGUAGGGAAAGGAAACUGGACCGACCCUUCGGGGAGCUUGUACAGGUGCUGCAUGGCUGUCGUCAGCUCGUGUCGUGAGAUGUUCGGUUAAGUCCGCUAACGAGCGCAACCCUCGCUGUGUGUUACAAGUGUCACACGGAACUGCCGGUCAUAAACCGGAGGAAGGUGGGAUGACGUCAAGUCAGCAUGGCCUUUAUAUCCUGGGCUACACACACGCUACAAUGGGAAGGGACAAUAGGUUGCGAAGCCGCGAGGCGGCGCCAAUCCAUAAAGUUGGUCUCAGUUCAGAUUGUAGGCUGCAACCCGCCUGCAUGAAGAUGGAGUUGCUAGUAACCGCAGGUCAGCUAUACUGCGGUGAAUACGUUCCCGGGGCUU
rnacentral:rRNA from 1 species